CUUGUGUGUGACGCAGGCCAGGAGUGGGUAUAAAACCAGCGUGUCUGCAGCAUUCUGCAUCUGUCUUUCGACUGAAGAACAUUGGAUAUUUUGUGGGAAAAAUGUAAAAACUUUCAGUUCAAAGUUUAGAAAAUGGGACCCAAGAAGAAGCGAGCAAAAGUGAAGUAACCCAGCCUGAAACAGCAGAGGGGGAGGAGGAGGAAGAAUUUGAUGAUGGUAGCAGCACCGGCGAGCCCUGCACGGACAGGGAGAAGUUUGCCUUCAAGCCGGCAGAAGGCACAGCACCCCGCCAGAGGGAUUUCCACAGUUAACGACACCCAGAAGUGAGGACAGUGCAAUCCCAUCAUCGCUGUCAGGCCAUUGUGCCAUGCUCAGUGAUGAGGACAAGGACAUCCCGACACCCCGUCCCACCACUCAGCAGGAGCAGGACAACAGCUCGGAGUCAAAAUUCUUCAAAGUAUCCAGUGUUUCCCUUGAUGACGCUUUGCACACUAUUGGCGUUCUCUUAACCAACUUCAUGAGGGAGUCACCUGGAAUGCUUUUCAAUUAACAGGUGUGUCUCGUCAAAAGGUCAGUGGACGAGUUUCUUGUCUUCUUAAUGUGUUUGAGAUCAGUCAAGUUUAUUCUUAUCACG